CCUACGGGAGGCAGCAGUGAGGAAUAUUGGUCAAUGGGCGCGAGCCUGAACCAGCCAAGUAGCGUGAAGGAUGACUGCCCUACGGGUUGUAAACUUCUUUUAUAAAGGAAUAAAGUGAGGCCCGUGUGCCUUUUUGUAUGUCCUUUAUGAAUAAGGAUCGGCUACCUCCGUGCCAGCAGCCGCGGUAAUACGGAGGAUCCGGGCUUGCACCGGAUUUAUUGGGUUUAAAGGGAGCGUAGAUGGGUUGUUAAGUCAGUUGGGAAAGUUUGCGGCUCAACCGUAAAAUUGCAAUUGAUACUGGCAGUCUUGAGUACAGUUGAGGUAGGCGGAAUUCGUGGUGUAGCGGUGAAAUGCUUAGAUAUCACGAAGAACUCCGAUUGCGAAGGCAGCUUACUAAACUGCCACUGACAUUGAGGCUCGAAAGUGUGGGUAUCAAACAGGAUUAGAUACCCGGGUAGUC
rnacentral:rRNA from 1 species